rnacentral:rRNA from 1 species
AGUGAACGCUGGCGGUAGGCCUAACACAUGCAAGUCGAACGGUAGCACAGAGGAGCUUGCUCCUUGGGUGACGAGUGGCGGACGGGUGAGGAAUGCAUCGGAAUCUACUCUUUCGUGGGGGAUAACGUAGGGAAACUUACGCUAAUACCGCAUACGACCUACGGGUGAAAGCAGGGGACCUUCUAGGCCUUGCGCGAUUGAAUGAGCCGAUGUCCGAUUAGCUAGUUGGCGGGGUAAUGGCCCACCAAGGCGACGAGCGGUAGCUGGUCUGAAGGGAUGAUCAGCCACACUGGAAAUGAGACACGGUCCAGACUCCUACGGGAGGCAGCAGUGGGGAAUAUUGGACAAUGGGCGCAAGCCUGAUCCAGCCAUACCGCGUGGGUGAAGAAGGCCUUCGGGUUGUAAAGCCCUUUUGUUGGGAAAGAAAAGCAGCCGGCUAAUACCCGGUUGUUCUGACGGUACCCAAAGAAUAAGCACCGGCUAACUUCGUGCCAGCAGCCGCAGUAAAAC